GACGAACGCUGGCGGCGUGCCUAACACAUGCAAGUCGUACGGUAAGGCCCUUUCGGGGGUACACGAGUGGCGAACGGGUGAGUAACACGUGAGUAACCUGCCCACAACUUUGGGAUAACGCUAGGAAACUGGUGCUAAUACUGGAUAUGUGCUCCUGCUGCAUGGUGGGGGUUGGAAAGCUCCGGCGGUUGUGGAUGGACUCGCGGCCUAUCAGCUUGUUGGUGGGGUAGUGGCCUACCAAGGCGGCGACGGGUAGCCGGCCUGAGAGGGUGACCGGCCACAUUGGGACUGAGAUACGGCCCAGACUCCUACGGGAGGCAGCAGUGGGGAAUAUUGCACAAUGGGCGCAAGCCUGAUGCAGCAACGCCGCGUGCGGGAUGACGGCCUUCGGGUUGUAAACCGCUUUCAGCAGGGACGAAGCUUUUUGUGACGGUACCUGCAGAAGAAGCACCGGCUAACUACGUG
rnacentral:rRNA from 1 species